CAAACAUGCAUCAUUACAGCCCUGUAUUGGAGUGUGUGAUUGUAUAUUGCUUGUGUAGAGUGUCAAGCGUGCGUGCUACACAUUGUGCCUGGAGAGAUUGAUGUUUUGUCAUCCACCUGCUUCUAAGCUGUAAAAGCAAGCGCAGCAAAGGCAAACCUACCCAGCUUCAAAAUCCAAACAAAGAAAUCUUAGUGGGCUGUUUACAUAUCUGUGCAAGGAUAUCUGUGCUUGUGUUGACGGGGUGCUAGAGUGGCUGAGAGAUCAGUCCCCGCACAAUGGACGAGUGGGAAAUCAAAGACUGGAAUGCUGGGAGAACGCUGGAGAAAUUGACGAAGGGGUGAGCUCUGGAAAGGAGGACAGAUACUUCCUGUUCCUUCUGGAGUGACCCGCAGGUCUGAGGAGGAGUGAGGGAGAGGAAGGUGGAGAAAUUCAUGGGUUGCAUAUUUCUGAAGAUGAGACCCUACUGCUGCAGAAGACUCGUCCACAUUCACGCAUCGACUACUUCUAACCUUCUUCUUUGAAAGUUAUUUAAAAAAUUCUUUCCAAGUACCCAGUGAAACCUGCUAAAGUACCCUCUGGUGUAAACAUACCCCUGGUUGGGAAUCAACGAUGUGAUGGACAAACAAGCACAAACUUGGCGAUAUCUGCAUCAAAUCUCCCAGGUGAGCAAUGGCUUGGACCUGCAGAGUUAGCUGGAUUUCUCGCUUCUCUUGGCUUUAGCCUGGAAAAGUGCUGAUCGUGGAAGGGGUGCUGGAGGAGCUCUCUCUUGGGCAGAUGGUGGGAAGACAGGGGGAGUAGUCACCCUGCUGCUUGGCCAACAGGGACACACACACAGACGCAUUCACAUACGGCACACCCACACAGGAAACAUUAGAACAACGAUUUGUCAUAGUCUUUCAUUUCGACGGAGGAGUUCUUUUGUUGUUGGAAAUAAGCCUUGUGAGUUUAUUAUUAUCUUCCUCUGAGUCAGUACGUUUAAGAGUUCAGCAGACACCUCUUAUGAUGGUGACAGGCCGUUCUUCUUUUUCUAACUGUCCACAAGCUAUUUGUGAAGAAUUUCUCUCGAACUAGCCAUUAAAGUUUUUUUUUUCUUUCUUCUUUUUUUCAACAGCUUUUAUGAUGCAAGGACAAAAGAAGCAAACACAUAUCUUGCAUAGCACGACUCAACGAUAUGUAUUGUUUUUAGUGAUAGACUGAUAUAGUUUCAAACAAUAUUUGGUAUUAUUGUAUUAUUGUUAUUAUAUUAUUACACAAGUAUACUAUUACAGCAGUAAUAUAUUAUGCCAAUUAACACACAACUGUACACACAACAAAUAAUUCACGCAAUUUGUUAAAAUGCUUGAAUUGAAAAUAUCUGGAAAUUUUACUGCUGAACUGUGACUCUGACAGCUACACUUUUGUUUGCAUAAAUGCAUAAAAGCUCAUGAACAUGAUGCGGAAAUAUGAAAUUGUUGGAACGUAAGCACUGGAAAGUGACAGUUCCAUCAACUGGCCCCAAAUUCUCUCACAUUAGCCUUUAUCCUCAUCAUUGAGCUCUGCCUAGAGAUAUCUGCUUAAAAUGUCCUUGACAACAAACGGUGAGGGAUGCAGAUUGUGGCUGUCUUGUCUGUUAGACUGGUGGUAUCAGGAGGGGCGUCUUCAGAUUUGAGAUCCCUGUAGCUAAGCUUAUGCGUUUGACUCAGUUCCACGUAACCAAACAUGCUGUUCGACACUAUCCAUCCGCUCCCAUAU
ensembl:lncRNA